GACGCAGAGAGACCUGGGAGGAGACAGAGGCAGGGCUUGCGACGGAAGUGGCCUCUCUGCUUCUGCAGGGCUAGGGAAGAUGCUGCGUCCGGCGUUACCGUGGCUGUGCUUUGGCCUCUGCAGCCUCCUGGUCGGGGAUGCAGAGGCCCCGAGCCCCGUGGAUCCGCUGGAGCGGAGCCGGCCGUACGCGGUGCUGCGCGGGCAGAACCUGGUGUUGAUGGGAACCAUUUUCAGCAUCCUGCUGGUGACUGUCAUCCUUAUGGCAUUUUGUGUCUACAAGCCCAUUCGGCGUCGGUGACAGCCAGACAAGUUCUUCAAUGAGUAUUUGGGAAUAGGAUAAGUUGUGUUGCACACGGGUCAGUGGAGAAGUUGGAAUCAAAACUUUCCUACUUGGAAAUGACCUUUGGUCUGGACAGCUGGUAAACGCUAAAUGAAUUAGAAGAAAACAUCUACUAGAAAUUAUUUUUUCCUAACACUGUAGUGCAAAUAAUUGGCCCCUGAAUCUGCUUCUCAGUGUUUCUGACUGUACUUGUUAAAAGUAAGACCUGAAAGCUCCAAAGGUCAGUGUAAAGAUGGAGUGUUCAUGAGAAAGAAAACAUUCACCUUGUGAGUGCCUGUAAGAACCACACUGGAAAGAACUCAUCAUUAAUGCUUGAAAAUGUUAAUAGAGGGAGACUUACUAUGUAGACAUUCCCUAUUUAAGAACCAUUUGGUUACAGUGGGUUAAGAAUCACAGAUUUUUUUUUUUUUUUUUUUUAAAUCUCACCUGAGUUGGCCUAGAAUGCGCUGGUUGCAAAGUGGUGUCAGCUGUGGGGAACUUGGGCCCUCAUUCCUUACCUGCAUCCGGCCCUGCACUCAGGUGCUCCCCCUGAAGUCAGGGUCACAUCAGGUAGACCUGUUACUACAUGCACCUUUGGCCUGGAAGGCUCUGGGGUUGGACUGGAAAUGUUACUAGGUUGGCCUCUCACAAAAAAGGACCCCAUCCUGCUUAAACACAUUGAUCUCCGUUGCCCUGCAUUUGAGUCUGUAUAGCCCACGGUCUGAAACUUGAGGUAGCUUUCCAGAUUUGGAAUGUAAAAGGCUCAGCAGGCGCUCUGUUCAUCCCUGGGUGGGGAGGGCCCAGCCAGAAGUGCAUGUCCACUGUGCCCGCCAGUGUGUGUUUACACAAAUUUCAUCUCCGCUUUGAAAAUGCUGCUAUUAGUUUGCACUGUUGGUGAACUGGAUUUUUUCCUCCUAUUGAAAUAAUACUUUCAUACUUAUAAAGCGGUCGUCAAUAUUUAUUUCAAGGUGCUAGAUUUAAUUUUGUUAUUAAAUUGAAAUGCUUAUCUUGUGUUCAAGCACAGCACUGAUUUUAACAACCUGCAUUUAAUGUGAAAUAACUGAAGCAGGAUACUGUAACUGUUUAACUUAGGGAUUUUGUUUGUAAUCUUGUAACAUUGAGCCAUUGAAAUGUUCACUGUUCUGUGCUUUUGAGCAAAAUGUCAAUUAAAAUUAAAGUAAAAUCCUA